UGAGGAAUAUUGCCCAAUGGGGGAAACCCUGAGGCAGCAACGCCGCGUGAACGAUGAUGGCCUUCGGGUUGUAAAGUUCUUUUCUGGGGGAAGAUGAUGACGGUACCCCAGAAAUAAGUCCCGGCUAACUACGUGCCAGCAGCCGCGGUAAAACGUAGGGGGCGAGCGUUAUCCGGAUUUACUGGGCGUAAAGCGCACGCAGGCGGCCCAUCAAGUUGGACGUGAAAGCUCCCGGCUUAAACUGGGAGAGGUCGUACAAAACUGAUGGGCUCGAGGCUGAGAGAGGAGAGCAGAAUUCCCGGUGUAGUGGUGGAAUGCGUAGAUAUCGGGAGGAAUACCAGUGGCGAAGGCGGCUCUCUGGCUCAGAACUGACGCUGAGGUGCGAAAGCGUGGGGAGCGAACGGGAUUAGAUACCCCGGUAGUCCACGCUGUAAACGAUGGAUACUGGGCGUAGGGGGUAAUCAACCCCCCUGUGCCGAAGCCAACGCGAUAAGUAU
rnacentral:rRNA from 1 species